UAGGGAAUCUUCGGCAAUGGACGAAAGUCUGACCGAGCAACGCCGCGUGAGUGAAGAAGGUUUUCGGAUCGUAAAACUCUGUUGUUAGAGAAGAACAAGGACGUUAGUAACUGAACGUCCCCUGACGGUAUCUAACCAGAAAGCCACGGCUAACUACGUGCCAGCAGCCGCGGUAAUACGUAGGUGGCAAGCGUUGUCCGGAUUUAUUGGGCGUAAAGCGAGCGCAGGCGGUUUCUUAAGUCUGAUGUGAAAGCGCCCGGCUCAACCGGGGAGGGUCAAUGGAAACUGGGAGUCUUGAGUGCAGAAGAGGAGAGUGGAAUUCCAGGAGUAGCGGUGAUAUACGUAGAUAUAUGGAGGAAAACCAGUGGCGAAGGCGGCUCUCUGGUCUGUAACUGACGCUGAGGCUCGAAAGCGUGGGGAGCAAACAGG
rnacentral:rRNA from 1 species